rnacentral:rRNA from 1 species
AACGAACGCUGGCGGCAUGCCUAACACAUGCAAGUCGAACGAGACCUUCGGGUAUAGUGGCGCACGGGUGCGUAACGCGUGGGAACCUGCCCUUAGGUUCGGAAUAACUCCCCGAAAGGGGUGCUAAUACCGGAUAAUGUCUUCGGACCAAAGAUUUAUCGCCUUUGGAUGGGCCCGCGUUGGAUUAGCUAGUUGGUAGGGUAAAAGCCUACCAAGGCGACGAUCCAUAGCUGGUCUGAGAGGAUGAUCAGACACACUGGGACUGAGACACGGCCCAGACUCCUACGGGAGGCAGCAGUGGGGAAUAUUGGACAAUGGGCGAAAGCCUGAUCCAGCAAUGCCGCGUGAGUGAUGAAGGCCUUAGGGUUGUAAAGCUCUUUUACCCGGGAUGAUAAUGACAGUACCGGGAGAAUAAGCUCCGGCUAACUCCGUG